UGUAUGACAACUAAAACAAAAUGGGCAAAUAGCCCAAUAACAUUAAUAUGGCCGGCCAUCAGGGUGAAUGGGCAAGCUUUGAUUAAUUACAAGUUUGCCACUCACUUGAAAUGAAGUAUAAAAUGAACUUUAUAGCUUUAUUUCUCAUAAGGGUUUUUCUUGGUGAAAUGAGGUGAAACACUUUCUCUCAUUUUCUCUAAAGAGGCCGGCCACUUAGAGAGAUUAAUCUAGCAAUCUUUUCUUCUCUAAGUCAUCCAUUUUGUCUUCACACUUAACCCUUGGUGUGGAGACUUAGAGACACCAAAUCUUUGGUGUUUUUGGAGAUCCCUUCCUUACAUCCUCAAGGACCAAAGGAGCACAAAAGGAGAAGGAAAUCACAAGCAAUAUCCAAGGAGCUAGGAGGUGACUUGAAGG
rnacentral:lncRNA from 1 species